AACCUUAUUGCUGCGGAUCAUAGAGUUGUUAGUAAAAAAAUUCUUUGUGGCAUCGUUUGUACUUUCAAACUGAAUGCUGUUGAUAAUGAUCCAAUUGAAUGAUGAUUAAUUUAUGAGCUUAAACCGUAACUAUGUCAUCUAGCGAUCCGCCGACGUUACUACAAUGGCUCGGCGGGCAGCUUCCGGGAAACCAAAGAUUUUGGACUCCGGGGGGAGUAUGGUUGCAAAGCUGAAACUUAAAGGAAUUGACGGAAGGGCACCACCAGGAGUGGAGCCUGCGGCUUAAUUUGACUCAACACGGGAAAUCUCACCAGGCCCGGACACCGGAAGGAUUGACAGAUUAACAGCUCUUUCUUGAUUCGGUGGGUGGUGGUGCAUGGCCGUUCUUAGUUGGUGGAGCGAUUUGUCUGGUUAAUUCCGGUAACGAACGAGACUCUAGCCUGCUAAAUAGGCGUCGUUAUUUAGGUGUGCGCGGCCUCGUGUCGCGCAACUCACUGACGACGUAUUAAAAUUCUUCUUAGAGGGACCGGCGUCUUCGAGCCGCACGAGAUUGAGCAAUAACAGGUCUGUGAUGCCCUUAGAUGUCCUGGGCCGCACGCGCGCUACACUGAAGGAAUCAGCAUGUUCUCCCUGGCCUAGAGGCCCGGGCAACCCGCUGAAACUCCUUCGUGCUGGGGAUUGGGGUUUGCAAUUAUCCCCCAUAAACGAGGAAUUCCUAGUAAGC
rnacentral:ncRNA from 1 species